GAUGAACGCUGGCGGUGUGCCUAAUACAUGCAAGUCGAGCGAACAGACGAGGAGCUUACUCCUCUGACGUUAGCGGCGGACGGGUGAGUAACACGUGGAUAACCUACCUAUAAGACUGGGAUAACUUCGGGAAACCGGAGCUAAUACCGGAUAACAUGUUGAACCGCAUGGUUCAACAGUGAAAGACGGUCUUGCUGUCACUUAUAGAUGGAUCCGCGUCGCAUUAGCUAGUUGGUAAGGUAACGGCUUACCAGGGCAACGAUGCAUAGCCGACCUGAGAGGGUGAUCGGCCACACUGGAACUGAGACACGGUCCAGACUCCUACGGGAGGCAGCAGUAGGGAAUCUUCCGCAAAGGGCGAAAGCCUGACGGAGCAACGCCGCGUGAGUGAAGAAGGUCUUCGGAUCGUAAAACUCUGUUAUUAGGGAAGAACAAAUGUGUAAGUAACUAUGCACGUCUUGACGGUACCUAAUCAGAAAGCCACGGCUAACUACGUG
rnacentral:rRNA from 1 species